GACGAACGCUGGCGGCGUGCUUAACACAUGCAAGUCGAACGGAAAGGCCCCUUUGGGGGUACUCGAGUGGCGAACGGGUGAGUAACACGUGAGUAACCUGCCCUUGACUUCGGGAUAACUUCGGGAAACUGGGGCUAAUACCGGAUAGGAAUCCUUGCUGCAUGGUGGGGGUUGGAAAGCUUCGGCGGUUUUGGAUGGACUCGCGGCUUAUCAGCUUGUUGGUGGGGUAGUGGCUUACCAAGGCUUUGACGGGUAGCCGGCCUGAGAGGGCGACCGGCCACAUUGGGACUGAGAUACGGCCCAGACUCCUACGGGAGGCAGCGGUGGGGAAUAUUGCACAAUGGGCGGAAGCCUGAUGCAGCAACGCCGCGUGCGGGAUGACGGCCUUCGGGUUGUAAACCGCUUUCAGCAGGGGCGAAGCUUGUGGUGACGGUACCUGCAGAAGAAGCACCGGCUAACUACGUG
rnacentral:rRNA from 1 species